rnacentral:rRNA from 1 species
GACGAACGCUGGCGGCGUGCUUAACACAUGCAAGUCGAACGGAAAGGCCCUGCUUUUGUGGGGUGCUCGAGUGGCGAACGGGUGAGUGUCACGUGAGUAACCUGCCCUUGACUUUGGGAUAACUUCAGGGAACUCGGGCUAAUACCCGAUAGGAGCUCCUUCUGCAUGGUGGGGGUUGGUAAGUUUCGGCGGUUGGGGAUGGACUCGCGGCUUAGCAGCUUGUUGGUGGGGUAGUGGCUUACCAAGGCAUGGACGGGUUGCCGGCCUGCGAGGGUGACCGGCCACAAUGGGACUGAGAAGCGGGCCAGAGGGCUACGGGAGGCAGCAGUGGGGAAUUGUGCACAAUGGGCGGAAGCAUGAUGCAGCAACGCCGCGUGCUGGAUGACGGCCUGCGGGUUGUAAACCGCGUGCGCCUGGGACGAAGCGUGAGUGACGGUAAUGGGUAAAGAAGCACCGGCUAACUACGUG